CAUAACGGCGAGCGUAUACAUGCAAGUCGAGCGGACAGAUGGGAGCUUGCUCCCUGAUGUUAGCGGCGGACGGGUGAGUAACACGUGGGUAACCUGCCUGUAAGACUGGGAUAACUCCGGGAAACCGGGGCUAAUACCGGAUGCUUGUUUGAACCGCAUGGUUCAAACAUAAAAGGUGGCUUCGGCUACCACUUACAGAUGGACCCGCGGCGCAUUAGCUAGUUGGUGAGGUAAUGGCUCACCAAGGCAACGAUGCGUAGCCGACCUGAGAGGGUGAUCGGCCACACUGGGACUGAGACACGGCCCAGACUCCUACGGGAGGCAGCAGUAGGGAAUCUUCCGCAAUGGACGAAAGUCUGACGGAGCAACGCCGCGUGAGUGAUGAAGGUUUUCGGAUCGUAAAGCUCUGUUGUUAGGGAAGAACAAGUGCCGUUCAAAUAGGGCGGCACCUUGACGGUACCUAACCAGAAAGCCACGGCUAACUACGUGCCAGCAGCCGCGGUAAUACGUAGGUGGCAAGCGUUGUCCGGAAUUAUUGGGCGUAAAGGGCUCGCAGGCGGUUUCUUAAGUCUGAUGUGAAAGCCCCCGGCUCAACCGGGG
rnacentral:rRNA from 1 species